rnacentral:rRNA from 1 species
CACGUAGGGGGCCAGCGUUGUCCGGAAUUACUGGGCGUAAAGCGCGCGCAGGCGGUCUAGUAAGCAGCGGGUGAAAUUCCGGGGCUCAACCCCGGCGCUGCUCGCUGAACUGCUAGACUAGAGUACGGGAGAGGGCAGUGGAAUUGCCGGUGUAGCGGUGGAAUGCGUAAAUAUCGGCAAGAACACCAGUGGCGAAGGCUGCUGCCUGGAACGUUACUGACGCUGAGGCGCGAAAGCUAGGGGAGCAAACGGGAUUAGAUACCCCGGUAGUCCUAGCCGUAAACGAUGGACACUAGGUGUUGGGAGCAUCGACCCUCCCAGUGCUGUUAUGCUAACGCGUUAAGUGUCCCGCCUGGGGAGUACGGCCGCAAGGUUGAA